rnacentral:rRNA from 1 species
GUGUCAGCCGCCGCGGUAAUACCGGCAGCCCGAGUGAUGGCCGAUCUUAUUGGGCCUAAAGCGUCCGUAGCUGGCCGCGCAAGUCUGUCGGGAAAUCCACCCGCUUAACGGGUGGGCGUCCGGCGGAAACUGUGCGGCUUGGGACAGGAAGGCUCGAGGGGUACGUUCGGGGUAGGAGUGAAAUCCCGUAAUCCUGAACGGACCACCGAUGGCGAAAGCACCUCGAGAGGACUGAUCCGACAGUGAGGGACGAAAGCUGGGGUCUCGAACCGGAUUAGAA